UGUCCUUAGUGGCCAGCACAUUAUGGUGGGACCUUUAAGGAGACUGCCGGUGCCAAACCGGAGGAAGGUGGGGUCGAGGUCAAGUCAUCAUGGCCCUUACGGCGUGGGUUACACACGUGCCCCAAUGGGUAGGCCAGACGGCUGCAAACCCGCGAGGGGGAGGUAAUCCGACAAACCUAGUGGUAGUCCGGAUCGGAGUAUCCAACUUGACUCCGGGAAGUCGGAAUUGGUAGUACUCGCGAAUCAGAAUGCCGCGGGUAAUAGGUUCCCGGGCCUGGUACACGCCGCCCGUCACACCAUGGGAGUGGGUUGCUCCAGAAGUGGUUAGUCUAACCUUCGGGAGGGCGAUCCCCCCGGAGUGAUU
rnacentral:rRNA from 1 species